CGAAUAUAUAUAAUACAGUUCGUACUAAUCAUAAUAACAGUAUAAUCUUAUCUUAACAUCCGGAAAAAAGUAUGAUUAGAUAUAAUUUUAUUUAUAUGGCUCAAAAAAAAAAUAUAGAUUAUCGACAAGCACUUACGUAUAAUAGAGACAGCGUGCCUGUUUAUUUUGAAAAUUUGGAAUAUCUAGUGAAUUAACAAGAUAUUUUUCUUUCUUACGAAAUAAACUUCGUUUAACUACAUAAUUUGAGAAGUAUAAAAGGAGAUAAGAGGUUCGUAGCAUUUAGUUUAAUAGCCGACAACCAGUGAUAUAAGGGUAUAAUUCUUAGGGAGUCACAAAUUGUAAUAUAAUUUAUAAAAUUUUAUAAUAAUAAAUGAUCUUGUAUCACACGUUGAAUUCUCGACAAAUAUCAUUGGACUAUCGUAUAUAGUUCAAUUAAAAAGAAAUGAAUUUGGCUUUGAAAUUUCCCUCGUCGUUCGACCUGAAAAAAAAUUGGCAUCAAAUAAUAUGCCCUUUCGUACGAAACGAAUUUGUAAAAAAUUUUUUUUGUUAGGUUCAGUCUCUCACGAGGUAUUUCAAUUUUUCGAAAUAAAUGAGACAUGCUGUAUAUAUCGCGCGCGUGUGUGUGUAGAAUUAUACUUCAGUAAAUUUAGAAUGGUUUUUUUUUACAUUAUUAUUAAAAAAUACAUGUAAUGAUUUUAUUUGAAAAUAAUUGAAUCUUUUUUAUUGAAAAGAAAAUAUUUAGUGAAGUUUCUAUUGUUGCAAUUUAUCGUCGAUUAGAGAAUGUUAAGUUUCUGUUUACAUUAUUUUUUGUCAAAUUUUCAUAAUUGCCAUUAUAUAUUUAUCUAUAUAUAUUGUCGAAUAUUUAUAGAAUAUUACUUUUAAAAUUGGCGGGGCAUUAAACUCGGCGCCAUCUAGCGAAAUUAACAUACAUUAAAGAUGCAGUUGCAUUUUAUGAUUUAAUCGUGGUUGAUUUAUGAUUACAAUAAAAGAUAAAAAUUAAAAGGAAAUCUUAAUUCUGUGUUUUAUAAAUGAAACAAUUAGACCAUAUUAAUCAGGUACUUUAUUCGAUAUAUUUUUCUUCUUCUUUUUCAAAAUUGUUAAAAUUCGAACUAAUUAUCCUCGCUUAACCUAACAUAUACUUUCUUCAGAAGAUAUUAUUCAACUAUAUAAUAAUAUAAUAUAUAAUUUGCAAUAUGAAAUCGUCGAUUUUUUUCGAGUUAUAGAAAAAGAAAUUCCUUUAAUCGAUUUUACAAAAACGAAGAAAGAUUUGGAUUCAAAUGGGAAUAAAUUUUCCGGAUGGCGAACGUUUUCGUUGACACGUUGAGUUGCAUUUUCAUAACGAUCAAAGUCUGUGUGCAUCGGGAAUAUUCAUACCGAGGAAAGACAUAUUCCUCUGCAGCUAUUCUCCGAGAUGCAAUUUUCUCUUUCCUUUUCUCUCUCUCUCUCUCUCUCUCGUUCUCUCUUUCUCUCUUUCCGUCUUUCUCUCGCUAGGAGGGCCAAAAUCGUCAAGAAGAUAUCGUUGCAGACAAAAUGAAGAAGGAUAAAAGAUAAAGCAGCAGCAAUAGUAGCAGCAAUAGUGCCGUUAAAUCGUUAAAAUUCUUAGGAUUCGUCGCUAUGUUCGAAGUUGAAACGAAUCGCUUCGAAUUUCAUGACAUGGGCGGACAGUAGAAAAGUUGGAUGAAGUAGACGAAAUAGACGGUACUUUGACGAAGGACAGGAAGGGUAUAAUGAAAAAAAGAAAAGAGGACAACGCAUAACUUUCCUUCUAUUCACUGAACCUCGUUACCCUUGUGAACUCCAACCUCAUCUAAUUAUCGAAUUUAAUUUUGUCCUUGUUAUAGAGGGAUGCCUCUUAACGAAGUCUUGCACGAGUACUUGCCACCCUUUCAACAGACGUCCUAUUCGCUAGUAUCGUCGUUGUCGACGUCGCCGUCGUCAUCGUCGUCGUCGUCGUCGUCGUCUUCGUCGUCGUAGGAGACACUCGUACGAGUACGCUUCAUCGUAACUCGAGAGCUUCCACGAUCGUGCGUAGCCCUUAAUUGGAGACGCACGAAGGACUCGUGGCGUUCCUAGGGAGUUUGCUAGAACAUGAAGGAGAAGAACGAGGAUGAUGAAGAGGAGAAAUGGCGCCGAUGGAAGACACGUUCUUUCUCUUUUACGUCUUUCCACGGCGGAGGAAGGAGCGACGAGAAGGGACAGAAAGGAAAGGAGAGAAAAUAAAAAAAUUAUAAAUAAAACAAAGGAAUAUAAAUUAAUAAAAAGGAAAAUAAUUGAAUACGUAAAUGAAAAAUGAAAAAAAAAGAGAGAAGGAAAAAAGAAGGAAGAAAAGAAAGAAAAAAAGAAGAAACAGAUCCUCUGGUUCGCGAAGGAAGAUCAUGAGAGAAAACAAAUAUUUUGUUCUCAUUGCAAAAUGCAAAAAUGAUGUAUUUCAUUCCGCUAAAGGCGUCUCAAAAGUACAUCGUCGAGAUCUUCUUGAAGAUGCUCCGGUAUUACGUACUUACUACGUAUUCUACUUUGUAAAAAUAAAACAUAUAUAUAUAUAUGUGUGUGUGUGUGUGUGUGUAUUUUUUCUUUUUCGUUUUUCCUUUUCUUUCUCUUUUUUUUUCCCUUCGCAAACUUUC